UAGAGUGGCGCACGGGUGAGUAACGCGUGGGAAUCUACCCAAUAGUACGGAAUAGCCGCGGGAAACUGCGAUUAAUACCGUAUACUCCCUCCGGGGGAAAGAUUUAUCGCUAUUGGAUGAGCCCGCGUGACAUUAGCUAGUUGGUAGGGUAAAGGCCUACCAAGGCUACGAUGUCUAGCUGGUCUUAGAGGAUGAUCAGCCACACUGGAACUGAGACACGGUCCAGACUCCUACGGGAGGCAGCAGUGGGGAAUAUUGGGCAAUGGGCGAAAGCCUGACCCAGCCAUGCCGCGUGAGUGAUGACGGCCUUAGGGUUGUAAAGCUCUUUCAUUGGUGAAGAUAAUGACGGUAACCAAAGAAGAAGCCCCGGCUAACUUCGUGCCAGCAGCCGCGGUAAUACGAAGGGGGCUAGCGUUGUUCGGAAUUACUGGGCGUAAAGCGCGUGUAGGCGGAUAUGCAAGCAAGGGGUGAAAGCCCGGGGCUCAACCUCGGAAUUGCCUUUUGAACUGCAUAUCUGGAGUCUUGGAGGGGAGUGCGGAAUUCCUAAUGUAGAGGUGAAAUUCGUAGAUAUUAGGAGGAACACCGGUGGCGAAGGCGGCACUCUGGACAAGUACUGACGCUGAGACGCGAAAGCGUGGGGAGCAAACAGGAUUAGAUACCCUGGUAGUCCACGCCGUAAACGAUGGAUGCUAGCCGUUGAGCCUUAGGUUCAGUGGCGACGCUAACGCAUUAAGCAUCCCGCCUGGGGAGUACGGUCGCAAGAUUAAAACUCAAAGGAAUUGACGGGGACCCGCACAAGCGGUGGAGCAUGUGGUUUAAUUCGAGGCAACGCGAAGAACCUUACCAGGACUUGACAUGCCGGUCGCGGAUUUCAGAGAUGAUUUCCUUCAGCUUGGCUGGACCGUGCACAGGUGCUGCACGGCUGUCGUCAGCUCGUGUCGUGAGAUGUUGGGGUUAAGUCCCGCAACGAGCGCAACCCUCAUCCUUAGUUGCUAACAUUUAGUUGAG
rnacentral:rRNA from 1 species